UCCUUGAUGGUUCAGUGGUCAGGACUCUGCACUUCCACUGCAAGGGGCACAGGUUCGAUCCCUGGUCAGGGGA